rnacentral:lncRNA from 1 species
UGGUUUUAAUGAUUUUGGUACAUCAAUAUUUCACCGUUUCACAACAUUGUAAUUGAAUCUAUAUAUCUAAUAAAGCAAACCAUUGGGGGACACAUGUCACCCUAUGGUUGAUGCCAAAUAAGAAGCCACAUCAGCAUACAUGUGGCAUAGCUCAUAGGGGAUGAUUGAAUCUGGCUUCUCACAUACGUUAUACUCUCUCUCUCUCUCAUUCUCUCAUUCUCUCAUAACCCUAAUUCAGUCUCUCUCUUCUCUUCUCUUCUCUUCUCUGGCGAACACGGCGAUGAAACAACAAAUCAUGGAGAUCAAAUCGGCGAUUUAGUGAACUUGGCUUCUAUGUUACGCUUUCUCUCAACUCUCUCUCUCAUUCUCACAAAAGUCUCCAAACGAUUGCUGCGAAACCCUAACAAGCGAUUCGUAUAGUCAUCGACCCUAAUCAACGAUUCCUCUAAGCAUGGAGUGGUUGUGUCUAGCGGCGGUGGUUGUGUCUAGCGGCGGCAAUGGUGGUCUAAUGUUGAUGGUGGAGGAGUCGCGGCGGCGGUGGUUUUGUUUUACUUGAAUCUUCCUCUCAAUAUUUCCCUACGCCUUCUAAGAUGUUGAAAGAAGAUGCAAAUGGUGGAGAAUUUAUCCAAUUCUUCAGGUUGGGAGAUGAGUUCAGGUCAUAUGCAUAAAGAGAGAGAUGUGAGAUCAGGGAGAUCUCUAUAGCCCGCUGACCGGUGUAAGGCGACUCAAGACAAGUGUGAGAAAGUUUUGCAGGAUGCCCUAUCAGAUGAAGAUGAUUCAUGUGAUGUGCACAUUUUAAAAGCAACAUUUAGAUGUGGUUUUGUGGGGUCAUGAUAGGAAUAGCAGAACAGGGGUAUUCAGUCCUCCUACUGACCUUAUUUUUCUUGGAGGUGUUUGCCUCACCGGUUUUGUACCUUAUACUCUUUUCAAUUUCAUACGUACAAAUGGAACUUCUCUGGCCUGAGUUUGGAUAAAAGGCUUGACUUUUUUGAGUCAAACUGGGAGUUCUUCGCUGGUUUCGGAUCUCCUUGUGUUCUGGCCAUUUUCUUUUUUUCUCCUUUAGUGAGUUAUGGAGUAAUGGCAGUACUCUUUCCAAUGGCAUUUUAAAGGAGACGUUUAUCGAUUCCCAACUUUGGUUAGACUUCGACUGUGAAUCUGAUCUGAUGAGUGUUAAUGGAGGAGGAGCCGGUUGACCAUCUCUUCGUGUCUUGCCACUUCGCCUCAAGGUGUUUGGGAUCGGGUUGCAAGCUGGUGCCGUCUAACUGGGUUGUAUAUGUUUGAAAGCAAAGAUUUGGUCGGAUAUCAUUGCCAUGCGAGUGGGUCGACAAAAUGAAAAAAAAAAUGGUGUACACUAUAAUGCAGACUGGAAUGUGGAUUAUAUGGCGUUAUCGAAACAACUUAGCAUUCAACCAGAAGUUUAAUGGUUUGAGAAAUGUGUCUAAAUAGUUUACACUGUAAUGCAUUAGUUCUUACGUAAUAAAAAUUUGAUAAAUACGAUAUGAGUGUGUUGGUGGUCUGUAUCGUUGGCGUAUGUUUGGUUAAAAGAUUUUUCUGCAUUUGGGGUCUGUUGUUUCCUUAGCUGCUGGCUAAGGGACUUUUUUGGGUUUCUUUAUAAAGAGUUUUGCUUG